rnacentral:rRNA from 1 species
UACAGAGGUCUCAAGCGUUGUUCGGAUUCAUUGGGCGUAAAGGGCGCGUAGGCGGCGGGGUAAGUCGGGUGUGAAAUCUCAGAGCUCAACUCUGAAAUGGCACUUGAUACUGCCGUGCUUGAGGACUGGAGAGGAGACUGGAAUUUACGGUGUAGCGGUGAAAUGCGUAGAUAUCGUAAGGAAGACCAGUGGCGAAGGCGGGUCUCGUGGACAGUUCCUGACGCUGAGGCACGAAGGUCAGGGGAGCAAACGGG